CACGAACCGUCCAAACGUUAUUCGGAAUUAUUGGGCUUAAAGAGUGCGUAGGCGGCGCUUUAAGUCGGGUGUGAAAGCCUUCGGCUCAACCGAAGAAUUGCGCCCGAUACUGGAGUGCUAGAGGGAGACAGGGGUGAGCGGAACUGAUGGUGGAGCGGUGAAAUGCGUUGAUAUCAUCAGGAACACCGGUGGCGAAAGCGGCUCACUGGGUCUCUUCUGACGCUGAGGCACGAAAGCCAGGGUAGCGAACGGG
rnacentral:rRNA from 1 species